GAACCUGUGGCGCAGCGGUUAGCGCAGCUGUUUUCAAAAAAUUGAGCGCGAGUUCAACCCCCGUCGGGGCA